rnacentral:rRNA from 1 species
UACGGGGGGGGCAAGCGUUGUUCGGAAUUACUGGGCGUAAAGGGCUCGUAGGUGGCCAACUAAGUCAGACGUGAAAUCCCUCGGCUUAACCGGGGAACUGCGUGUGAUACUGGAUGGCUUGGAUUUGGGAGAGGGAUGCGGAAUUCCAGGUGUAGCGGUGAAAUGCGUAGAUAUGUGGAGGAACACCGAUGGCGAAGGCAGCCCCCUGGGUCAAAACUGACGCUCAUGCACGAAAGCGUGGGGAGCAAACAGG